rnacentral:lncRNA from 1 species
AAAAAAUGACCUUUCGUUGAAUAAUUUUGGAGCAGAAAUAAAAGAAGGCUUGCUGCUACCAGAAAGUCAUUAAGGCAUUAGUUUCUCUAAGAAGACAGAUCUGAAGAAUGUGCAAGAAAAUGAGAAAAAAAUAAAAACAAGGUCUCUAUUGGCUUUCCUGAACGUAAGAAAAAGAAUCUUCAGAGAAAAAGGAAAGAGGAAGAGGGGAGGGGGCUCAGAAAACAAUAACAGCAGCCUAUCUACAUUGUGCUUUACAGUCUACAGUGUGCAUUCAUAUUUAACACUUUGGACUGAACAUUUGACACUUUGGAGUGAAUAGAUAUAAUUAUCCUCAGUUUACAGGUGGGAAAAUGAAGGCACAGAAAAGAUUGGUUUAGAUUCUUUUGCACCUGUAUGUCCCCUGUCUGAGGAAGAACAUAACUCGAAUGGGGCUGGUGCUUAACCUGGGGCUAAGAAUAAGAAGACAUGUGAAGCUAAGCACAGCUGUGUAGAACUGCAAUCAACCCGCAACCUUCAUGUCAUGUUCCCGGGGACAAUAGCAAGUCAGCAAGUUCAAGGCUUAUUGUUUUCUGGACCUCAAAUUCAGGCUGCAAUUUUGUGAAG